rnacentral:rRNA from 1 species
UACGGGGGGGGCAAGCGUUGUUCGGAAUUACUGGGCGUAAAGGGCACGUAGGCGGUUUGCUAAGUUGGAUGUGAAAACUCUGGGCUUAACCCAGAGCCUGCAUCCAAAACUGGCAAACUUGAGUACUGGAGGGGAAAGCGGAAUUCCUGGUGUAGCGGUGAAAUGCGUAGAUAUCAGGAGGAACACCGGUGGCGAAGGCGGCUUUCUGGACAGUAACUGACGCUGAGGCGCGAAAGCUAGGGGAGCAAACAGG